GACGGGGGGGGCAAGUGUUCUUCGGAAUGACUGGGCGUAAAGGGCACGUAGGCGGUGAAUCGGGUUGAAAGUGAAAGUCGCCAAAAAGUGGCGGAAUGCUCUCGAAACCAAUUCACUUGAGUGAGACAGAGGAGAGUGGAAUUUCGUGUGUAGGGGUGAAAUGCGCAGAUAUCAGGAGGAACACCGGUGGCGAAGGCGGGUCUCUGGGCCGUAACUGACGCUGAGGAGCGAAAGCGUGGGGAGCGAACAGG
rnacentral:rRNA from 1 species